GGGAGGUUUGAGGAGGGUGUUUGACAUGGCCAUCUGCAGAGUGUUGCGAGGACCUCCUCAAGGAAUGUUGCUCAGUGCCAGGCCAACCACCACGCCUGGCAUCACUUCUGAAGGGGAACGCUCCUGUCUACCACCUCAGCAGCAUGCGGGGCGCCCUGGCUGGACUGGGGCGGCCUGGACCCAACAGCAACCAACCCACUGGCCUGCCAGCAGCAUAUAAGCGAGCCCUCGUGUGUCCUGUGCCAAUUGCAGCUGAAGACGCUUCCCUGCCAGAUCACCUUUUGCCUGAUUCCUGGUGUUUAUCCUGUCCAGGUGGGGCACUCUGACCCAGAGACCAGACAGACCCGCAGAGGUGAGAUCGACUAGGAAAGGCCCAAUGGGCUGCGUGUCCCGUGAAGGUCGGCAGACCGCCAGUGUCACAGUGGCCAACAGCAAAGAUCAAAAUCAGCCGUGAGUGCGGCCCGGGAUUCACAGGUCACCUGAGUCCUCCACCUUCGCUCUUUCCUUAUCAUAGAUCUACUGCACUAUUGCUCUCUGAACAUUUGUCUUUUAAAAAUUCACUUUUUAACUCAAUUAAAUAAAACUUUAUAUCAUUAUAGUAAAUGAAAAAUGAG